UUCGUUAAGAAGAAACAGCCGUUUCUCACCUUUCAACUUCGGUUAGUUGGGUUAUUGAAUUGUUUAUUACGUUAAGUGUUGUAAUAAUAGAGGACGGCUUAUGCCGUCCUUUUAUUUUAUA
rfam:Clostridium ventriculi strain 2789STDY5834858 genome assembly, contig: SCcontig000005